AUUAGCCAUGCAUGUCUCAGUACAAGCCGCAUUAAGGUGAAACCGCGAAUGGCUCAUUAAAUCAGUUAUGGUUCCUUAGAUCGUACCCACGUUACUUGGAUAACUGUGGUAAUUCUAGAGCUAAUACAUGCAAACAGAGUCCCGACCAGAGAUGGGAGGGACGCUUUUAUUAGAUCAAAACCAAUCGGUCGGCUCGUCCGGUCCGUUUGCCUUGGUGACUCUGAAUAACUUUGGGCUGAUCGCACGGUCUCCGUACCGGCGACGCAUCUUUCAAAUGUCUGCCUUAUCAACUGUCGAUGGUAGGUUCUGCGCCUACCAUGGUUGUAACGGGUAACGGGGAAUCAGGGUUCGAUUCCGGAGAGGGAGCCUGAGAAACGGCUACCACAUCCAAGGAAGGCAGCAGGCGCGCAAAUUACCCACUCCCGGCACGGGGAGGUAGUGACGAAAAAUAACGAUACGGGACUCAUCCGAGGCCCCGUAAUCGGAAUGAGUACACUUUAAAUCCUUUAACGAGUAUCUAUUGGAGGGCAAGUCUGGUGCCAGCAGCCGCGGUAAUUCCAGCUCCAAUAGCGUAUAUUAAAGUUGUUGCGGUUAAAAAGCUCGUAGUUGGAUUUGUGUCCCACGCUGUUGGUUCACCGCCCGUCGGUGUUUAACUGGCAUGUAUCGUGGGACGUCCUGCCGGUGGGGCGAGCCGAAAGCGCGCGGCCGCCUCGUGCGUGCCCGUGCGUCCCGAGGCGGACCCCGUUGAAAUCCUACCGCGGUGCUCUUUACCGAGUGUCGAGGUGGGCCGGCACGUUUACUUUGAACAAAUUAGAGUGCUUAAAGCAGGCAAGCCCGCCUGAAUACUGUGUGCAUGGGAAUAAUGGAUAGGACCUCGGUUCUAUUUUUGUUGGGUUUUCGGACCCGAGGUAUGAUUA
rnacentral:rRNA from 1 species